CCCUAGUAACGGCGAGUGAAGCGGGAACAGCUCAAGGCAGGAAUCCCUUCGGGGAGUUGUGGCCUAUGGAACGUAGUUGCUGUAAGCCGGUCUGCGGAUCAAGUCCCUUGGAAUAGGGCGCCAGAGAGGGUGAUAGCCCCGUCCACUGCAGGCUUGAACGGUUUCGUUAUGCACUAUGCUCCGCGAGUCGGGUUGUUUGGGAAUGCAGCCCUAAUCGGGAGGUACGCACCUUCCAAGGCUAAAUAUUCAGGCGAGAGACCGAUAGCGAACAAGUACCGUGAGGGAAAGUUGAAAAGUACUCUGGAGAGAGAGUGAAAAGCGCGUGAAACCAUUAGUAGGGAACCGCUUGCACGGUGCACCGAGUGUUGUUGGCUUCGGCCGGCUUCACCGCUCAACACCAGUUUAGCUUGCUGGAAAAAGCAGGCGGCAAGGUAGCAACGCUUCGGGGUUGUGUUAUAGGCCGCUUGCAUAUACAGUGGGCUGGACUGAGGACGGCGACAUCUUCCUUCGGGGGGCGCUUGUGCGGGCUGGCCACUGGGCUGGACUGUGCGGACAGCAUGCUGACCGUACGGGACCACGUCUGGUGCUCCAGUUCGUAUCUUGUGAUAUGUCAAGGGUAGUUGAGAAGCGCU
rnacentral:rRNA from 1 species